UCCGUAGGUGAACCUGCGGAAGGAUCAUUAAAUUGGCCGCCGGGAGCUGCAAGCCUGUAAAAGGGCGAACAGUCUAGAUGUUAAUUAGUAUCCUUUACUGAAGGAACUUUUUAAGUACUAUACCCUGGUGUAUAUUUAUACCCUAUCUUUUUUACUCUAGUUGCCUUGGUGGGCCGUCCAGUAUGGCAUUAGUUUCGGCUGAUUGUGCCCACCAGAGGACCCCAAACCCUUUUAUUAGUGAUGUCUGAGUACUAUUUAAUAGUUAAAACUUUCAACAACGGAUCUCUUGGUUCUGGCAUCGAUGAAGAACGCAGCGAAAUGCGAUAAGUAAUGUGAAUUGCAGAAUUCAGUGAAUCAUCGAAUCUUUGAACGCACAUUGCGCCCGCUGGUACUCCGGCGGGCAUGCCUGUUCGAGCGUCAUUUUAACCAAUCAAGCUCUGCUUGGCCUUGGGGCAUGCUAUACCAGCGGCUCUUAAAAUUAGUGGCGGUGCCGUCUUGCUCUAAGCGCAGUAAUUUUUCUCGCUAUAGCGUUUAGGUGUCCACCCGCCAGAACCCCUAACUCUUCAAAGGUUGACCUCGGAUCAGGUAGGGAUACCCGCUGAACUUAAGCAUAUCAAUAAGCGGAGGAAAAGAAACCAACAGGGAUUGCCUCAGUAACGGCGAGUGAAGCGGCAACAGCUCAAAUUUGAAAUCUGCCUCUAGGCCGAGUUGUAAUUUGUAGAAGAUGCUUUGGGUGUGGUACCGGUCUAAGUUCCUUGGAACAGGACGUCAUAGAGGGUGAGAAUCCCGUACGUGACUGGCUACCUUCGCCCGUGUAAAGCUCUUUCAACGAGUCGAGUUGUUUGGGAAUGCAGCUCAAAAUGGGUGGUAUAUUUCAUCUAAAGCUAAAUAUUGGCCAGAGACCGAUAGCGCACAAGUAGAGUGAUCGAAAGAUGAAAAGCACUUUGGAAAGAGAGUUAAACAGUACGUGAAAUUGUUGAAAGGGAAGCGCUUGCAACCAGACUUGUAUGCUGUCGAUCAUCCGAGGUUUUCCCCGGUGCACUCGGCAGUGUUCAGGCCAGCAUCGGUUUUGGUGGUUAGAUAAAGGCCUUGGGAAUGUAGCUCUUUCGGGAGUGUUAUAGCCCUCGGUGCAAUGUAGCCUACUGGGACCGAGGACCGCGCUUCGGCUAGGAUGCUGGCGUAAUGGUUGUAAGCGACCCGUCUUGAAACACGGACCAGGGAGUCUAACAUCUAUGCGAGUGUUUGGGUGUUAAACCCAUACGCGUAAUUAACGUGAACGGAGGUGAGAACCCUUAAGGGUGCAUCAUCGACCGAUCCUGAUGUCUUCGGAUGGAUUUGAGUAAGAGCAUAGCUGUUGGGACCCGAAAGAUGGUGAACUAUGCCUGAAUAGGGUGAAGCCAGAGGAAACUCUGGUGGAGGCUCGCAGCGGUUCUGACGUGCAAAUCGAUCGUCAAAUUU
rnacentral:misc_RNA from 1 species